rnacentral:tRNA from 1 species
GUGGUCGUGCCGAAGUGGUUAAGGCGACAGACUAGAAUUUGGUGGGUUUCGGCCGCACAGGUUCGAAUCCUGUCGGCGACG